rnacentral:rRNA from 1 species
UACGGGGGGUGCAAGCGUUGUUCGGAUUUACUGGGCGUAAAGGGCGCGUAGGCGGCCAGCACAAGUCAGUUGUGAAAUCUCCGGGCUUAACUCGGAAAGGUCAACUGAUACUGUGCGGCUAGAGUGCAGAAGGGGCAACUGGAAUUCUCGGUGUAGCGGUGAAAUGCGUAGAUAUCGAGAGGAACACCUGCGGCGAAGGCGGGUUGCUGGGCUGACACUGACGCUGAUGCGCGAAAGCCAGGGGAGCGAACGGG